GACGAACGCUGGCGGCGUGCCUAACACAUGCAAGUCGAGCGAGUGAAUCUCCUUCGGGAGUGAAGCUAGCGGCGGACGGGUGAGUAACACGUUGGCAACCUGCCUCAUAGAGGGGAAUAGCCUUCCGAAAGGAAGAUUAAUACCGCAUAGGAUUGUAGCUUCGCAUGAAGUAGCAAUUAAAGGAGCAAUCCGCUAUGAGAUGGGCCCGCGGCGCAUCAGCUAGUUGGUGAGGUAACGGCUCACUAAGGCGACUAUGCGUAGCCGACCUGAGAAGGUGAUCGGCCACAUUGGGACUGAGACACGGCCCAGACUCCGACGGGAGGCAGCAGUGGGGAAUAUUGCACGAUGGGGGAAACCCUGAUGCAGCAGCGCCGCGUGAGUGAUGACGGCCUUCGGGUUGUAAAGCUCUGUCUUCAGGGACGAUAAUGACGGUACCUGAGGAGGAAGCCACGGCUAACUACGUGCCAGCCGCCGCAGUAAAAC
rnacentral:rRNA from 1 species